rnacentral:misc_RNA from 1 species
CAUCGAUGAAGAACGCAGCGGACGGGCAUCGAUGAAGAACGCAGCGGACGG